GUUUGAAUACACAACACAAGCAGUAAACAGUAAACAACAAACAUCUACUCUAAAACUCACAUGGCAAUUUUUAGCUAUUUAUUGUUUUAUUGCCUUAUUUGUCCCUCAGUCCUUAAGCAGCAACAUUACAACUUCAUGCACUCUGUUAACAGUGUGUGGGGGCCUAAUUUUAUAGUUUAGCUAUAAGCACAAAGUUUUUAUUGUUCAACUAGCUUUAAGCGUAAAGUGUUAAAUUAAAGUUUAAACAACAAAUCCCCAGCCUAAUUUAAUACGCGUGCUGUGGCAGUUGCCUGACGCAUAAUUAAGGCGCAAACCCCCUUUUUGGGCAGACAGCCAACAAACUCGCACAGUUUGCAGUCUCGCGGGAUCAACUGCAGUUGUCC